GACGAACGCUGGCGGCGUGCUUAACACAUGCAAGUCGAACGCGCCUGUCCUCUGGGUUUCUGGGGGGUGGGUGAGUGGCGAACGGGUGAGUAACACGUGAGUAACCUGCCCCCUUCUUCGGGAUAACGGUCUGAAAGGGCUGCUAAUACCGGGUAUUCACUGGUCUCCGCAUGGGGUCUGGUGGAAAGGUUUUUUUCUGGUGGGGGAUGGGCUCGCGGCCUAUCAGCUUGUUGGUGGGGUGAUGGCCCACCAAGGCUUUGACGGGUAGCCGGCCUGAGAGGGUGACCGGUCACAUUGGGACUGAGAUACGGCCCAGACUCCUACGGGAGGCAGCAGUGGGGAAUAUUGCACAAUGGGCGCAAGCCUGAUGCAGCGACGCCGCGUGAGGGAUGGAGGCCUUCGGGUUGUGAACCUCUUUCGCCCGUGGUCAAGCCGCGACGUGGGUCGUGGUGAGGGUAGUGGGUAAAGAGGCGCCGGCUAACUACGUG
rnacentral:rRNA from 1 species